CGCCUUUUGUAAUACAUAUAUAAAAGGUCCUGCCUGCCCAAUGACUUGUUUUAAUGGCCGCGGUAUUGUGACCGUGCAAAGGUAGCGUAAUCAUUUGUCUUUUAAAUAAAGACCAGUAUGAACGGCAAGACGAAAGCCUCACUGUCUCCCUAGCCUAAUCAAUGAAAUUGAUCUUCCCGUGCAGAAGCGGAAAUAUAAAUAUAAGACGAGAAGACCCUGUGGAGCUUUAGACUCCAGUUUUAGGUUGGGGCGACCAUGAGGUAUAAUAUAACCCUCACGACAUAAUCAAGAAGGACACUUCAAACAUUGACCCAAUAAUUGAUCAACGAACCAAGUUACCCCAGGGAUAACAGCGCAAUCUACUCAAAGAGUCCAUAUCGACGAGCAGGUUUACGACCUCGAUGUUGGAUCAGGACCCCCAAAUAGCGCAACAGCUAUUAAAGGUUCGUUUGUUCAACGAUUAAAGUCCU
rnacentral:rRNA from 2 species